rnacentral:misc_RNA from 1 species
GAUGAAGAACGUAGCGAAAUGCGAUAAGUAAUGUGAAUUGCAGAAUUCAGUGAAUCAUCGAAUCUUUGAACGCACAUUGCGCCCGCCAGUAUUCUGGCGGGCAUGCCUGUUCGAGCGUCAUUUCAACCAUCAAGCCCCAGGCUUGUGUUGGGGACCUGCGGCUGCCGCAGGCCCUGAAAACCAGUGGCGGGCUCGCUGUCACACCGGGCGUAGUAGAUUUUAUCUCGCUCAGGGCGUGCUGCGGGUUCCGGCCGUUAAAAAGCCUUUUUUACCCAAGGUUGACCUCGGAUCAGGUAGGAAGACCCGCUGAACUUUAGCAUAUCAAUAAGCGGAGGA